rnacentral:rRNA from 1 species
ACGCUAGCUACAGGCUUAACACAUGCAAGUCGAGGGGAAACGGCAUUAAGUGCUUGCACUUUUUGGACGUCGACCGGCGCACGGGUGAGUAACGCGUAUCCAACCUUCCCAUGACUAAGGGAUAACCUGCCGAAAGGCAGACUAAUACCUUAUGGUCUUCACUGACGGCAUCAGAUGUGAAGUAAAGAUUUAUCGGUUAUGGAUGGGGAUGCGUCUGAUUAGUUAGUUGGCGGGGUAACGGCCCACCAAGGCAACGAUCAGUAGGGGUUCUGAGAGGAAGGUCCCCCACAUUGGAACUGAGACACGGUCCAAACUCCUACGGGAGGCAGCAGUGAGGAAUAUUGGUCAAUGGGCGAGAGCCUGAACCAGCCAAGUAGCGUGCAGGACGACGGCCCUAUGGGUUGUAAACUGCUUUUGUAUGGGGAUAAAGUCAAUCACGUGUGAUUGUUUGCAGGUACCAUACGAAUAAGGACCGGCUAAUUCCGUGCCAGCAGCCGCGGUAAUACGGAAGGUCCGGGCGUUAUCCGGAUUUAUUGGGUUUAAAGGGAGCGUAGGCUGGAGAUUAAGUGUGUUGUGAAAUGUAGACGCUCAACGUCUGACUUGCAGCGCAUACUGGUUUCCUUGAGUACGCACAACGUUGGCGGAAUUCGUCGUGUAGCGGUGAAAUGCUUAGAUAUGACGAAGAACUCCGAUUGCGAAGCAGCUGACGGGAGCGCAACUGACGCUGAAGCUCGAAGGUGCGGGUAUCGAACAGGAUUAGAUACCCUGGUAGUCCGCACAGUAAACGAUGGAUGCCCGCUGUUGGUACCUGGUAUCAGCGGCUAAGCGAAAGCAUUAAGCAUCCCACCUGGGGAGUACGCCGGCAACGGUGAAACUCAAAGGAAUUGACGGGGGCCCGCACAAGCGGAGGAACAUGUGG